rnacentral:lncRNA from 1 species
GGUACUUUUACCACCGAAUUGUUCACUAGUGACUUUAGAGAAACUCCAGAAGAGCUGCCUUGGCUUUCAGCAAGAGGCCUAGCAAAGACCAUGGCAUGAGGUCUCCUUCUUGGUUUAGCUAACCCACCAGCAUGACCUUACAAACUCUCUUUCCUCCUCCCAUUUUGUCACUGAAUUCCACAGAGCUAAAUAUCUGUUCC